UCUCCUCCCUGUGAGGAGGAGUCAAUGCAAAACUCAGAUGUCUUCCACCUCUACUUAUCUGACUGCAGAGAGGAUGACAGAGAACAGUGGACACACAGUUUAACAUGAUGGACUAUAGGACAGGACUGCUGCUUUUAACUCUCUGCUGGGCAGGUGUUGAUGGUCAGACUCUGACACAAUCUGAACCAGUGGUUAAAAGACCUGGAGAAUCCCACAGACUGACCUGUACAGUCUCUGGGUUCUCACUCAGCAGCUACUGGAUGAGCUGGAUCAGACAGGCUCCUGGAAAAGGACUGGAGUGGAUUGCUACUGAUACUAGUGGUAGCAACUACUACUCUCAGUCAGUCCAAGGCCGGUUUACCACCUCCAGAGACAACAGCAGACAGCAGCUGUAUCUGCAGAUGAACAGUCUGAAGACUGAAGAUUCUGCUGUUUAUUAUUGUGCUCGAGAGUCACAGUGACUGGAGUUGGUUGAGCAGCUGUACAAAAACCUACAGUAUUCAUCAAACUUCCAUUACCUGAAAUGAGUGACGUCCUCAGUUAGCUCAAGAAAGUGAUUCAAUAAAGGUGCAUUGAAUACUA